rnacentral:rRNA from 1 species
UAGGGAAAGUUUUUCGGUGUAGGAUGAGACUAUAUAGUAUCAGCUAGUUGGUAAGGUAAUGGCUUACCAAGGCUAUGACGCUUAACUGGUCUGAGAGGAUGAUCAGUCACACUGGAACUGAGACACGGUCCAGACUCCUACGGGAGGCAGCAGUAGGGAAUAUUGCGCAAUGGGGGAAACCCUGACGCAGCAACGCCGCGUGGAGGAUGACACUUUUCGGAGCGUAAACUCCUUUUCUUAGGGAAGAAUUCUGACGGUACCUAAGGAAUAAGCACCGGCUAACUCCGUGCCAGCAGCCGCGGUAAUACGGAGGGUGCAAGCGUUACUCGGAAUCACUGGGCGUAAAGGGCGCGUAGGCGGAUUAUCAAGUCUCUUGUGAAAUCUAAUGGCUUAACCAUUAAACUGCUUGGGAAACUGAUAGUCUAGAGUGAGGGAGAGGCAGAUGGAAUUGGUGGUGUAGGGGUAAAAUCCGUAGAUAUCACCAAGAAUACCCAUUG